rnacentral:rRNA from 1 species
UACGUAGGGGGCAAGCGUUGUCCGGAAUCAUUGGGCGUAAAGAGCGUGUAGGCGGUUCGGUAAGUCCGCUGUAAAAGUCCAGGGCUCAACCCUGGAAAGCCGGUGGAAACUGUCGAACUAGAGUCCGGAAGAGGCGAGUGGAAUUCCUGGUGUAACGGUGAAAUGCGCAGAUAUCAGGAGGAACACCAAUGGCGAAGGCAGCUCGCUGGGACGGUACUGACGCUGAGACGCGAAAGCGUGGGGAGCAAACAGG